GCCAGUAAAAGCUACAGCUUUUCUCCUCCGAUCCAAGAAGCCUGGACUGCAGUCACCAUCUCAACACACCAACCAAGAGAAAGAUAUGGAAAAUUGCACAAUAAAAGUUCCAGGACAUGAAGGCUGCAUACUGUGAACGUCAACCUUCAGGGCACCGUCCUGCGCAGAAGACUUUCUACCCUAAGAGGGAUGGCUGACCGCAGACACUCACAACCAGCACAGACGCCUCCAACCUCAGACUAGGCCCUUCACAGUUGCUGCACUUACCCACCUUCCCCGAGUUUUUGUGUGGUAAUGACAACUGUAAAUAUAGUAUAAAGUAAUGUAUCUAGUGUCAUGUGUAAUACAUUGUUUAAAUUGUCCAUACAUUUCAAUGACAGUAAAUAUUGGUGGACACAA